GAAGGUUUUAUGAGGCACAAGAAGCUUGCCUUUGUCAGAGAGGCUCAGUGAGGUUUCUGGACUGUUCUGGCACAUCUUUUACAUACACAAAUUUUGGUGACUCUGGCCAAGUGCCUGCCUGCUCAGCUGGUGUGAAAAUGGAUGCAAAAAUAUGAAGAGAGAGAGAAAAAGACAGACAGAGAGAUAUCCCCUUUAUUCUGAGUAUCCUUCCGAAGACCAGCUGUGUCAAGAGUCCUGACUCUGAACUGCUGAGAUGGAUGCCUCUUUCCCACAAGCAGCAGCCAUGUUGUCCCAGGAGGACCGACCCUGGGCUUUCUUCUUUUGGGGGUCACUCCUGGCUGUCAUUGACUUGGCCUUGCAGGGACUAGUCACUUCUCACUGGUCCUUUAACUCUUCCUUCGCUCCCUCCACCCAAACCUGAAGCUGCGGCAUCUGCUUCAAUCACCUGGGCAAAUGCAAGACCAUUGGCGCGAGAAUUAGCUCUAUGCUGGAGUGUCAUCUGCUUGCCUCAUUCUCCCGCUCUUGGCUUCUCCUCUCCUGACUCUGCUGGCUCCUUCUGUGAAGGCACCUCUUCUCCCCCUCCUCUCUGCUCGGCAGAUCAGACGCCACGUGUACCUGCCAGGCUAUCACCUGGUUAGUUGCAAUGCCACUUGGCUGUUUUGAGCUUCAGCUUUCCCAAGCUAUGGUUCCCACAUGCUGCUGCCCGGGGCACUUGUUAAAAACACAGGUUCCUGGGCUCCUUUGAAGAUUCC
rnacentral:lncRNA from 1 species